rnacentral:rRNA from 1 species
GCCAGACUCCUACGGGAGGCAGCAGUGGGGAAUAUUGCACAAUGGGGGAAACCCUGAUGCAGCGACGCCGCGUGAGUGAAGAAGUAAUUCGUUAUGUAAAGCUCUAUCAGCAGGGAAGAAAAUGACGGUACCUGAGUAAGAAGCCCCGGCUAACUACGUGCCAGCAGCCGCGGUAAUACGUAGGGGGCAAGCGUUAUCCGGAUUUACUGGGUGUAAAGGGAGCGUAGACGGAAAGGCAAGUCAGAAGUGAAAGCCCAAGGCUCAACCAUGGGACUGCUUUUGAAACUGUCAAACUGGAGUGUGUGAGAGGAUAGUGGAAUUCCAGGUGUAGGAGUGAAAUCCGUAGAUAUCUGGAGGAACAUCAGUGGCGAAGGCGACUAUCUGGCACAUAACUGACGCUGAGGAGCGAAAGCGUGGGUAGCAAACAGGAUUAGAUACCCUAGUAAAA